rnacentral:rRNA from 1 species
GACGAACGCUGGCGGCGUGCUUAACACAUGCAAGUCGAACGAAGUGGCGAACGGGUGAGUAACGCGUAAUCAACCUGCCCUUCAGAGGGGGACAACAGUUGGAAACGACUGCUAAUACCGCAUACUGAAGGAGGGGUUUGCGUCGGCUUAGCUGGUUGGGGGGGUAACGGCCCACCAAGGCGAUGAUCAGUAGCCGGGCUGGGAGGAGGAACGGCCAAAUGGGGAACGGGAAACGGCCCAGACUCCUACGGGAGGGAGCAGGGGGGAAUCAUCCGCAAUGGAGGAAAGUCUGACGGAGCAACGCCGCGGGAGAGAUGACGGCCUUCGGGUUGUAAAGCUCUGUUAAUCGGGACGCGGUACCGGAAGAGAAAGCCACGGCUAACUACGUGCCAGCAGCCGCGGUAAUUC